UAGUGAUUGCACGCACCUGUCCUCUGCUGGUUCUUCCCUGCAUGCCCUCCAUGAGUCCAAAACACGACAACCUUCUUUUUCCCCCCAAGUCUGUUGGACCUCCUUCCGUGCGACUAGGUGGCAGCCGACUUCCGCCCACCGAGAGACGGCGUUGUCAGCGGGUACAUCUCUACCUCAACCAGGGGGCGGCGAACCAAAACGUUUGAAGAGCCAUGUUGGACCAAGAAUAGACAAAAGAAAUCCGUCUUGAGCUGCAAAAAAUUAAAAGCUGAAUAUACAAGCCACAUGCAGCUUGAGAGCCGCAAGUUUCCGACCCCCGACCUAUAAUGUAGGCAGUUGGACCCCUUGACCUUCCGAUGCCCCGCUAGUCCAACCAACCUGCGAUCUCAAGUUCCUUUACCCUCUGGUGAGACGGCGUCGAAAGUGGGUCAACUUCUUCUCCGGCACCUUCCAGACUGCAGCAACAACUUCCAGUUCAUCCACAAUGGAAGUCUCGACCAAGAACCCUUAUCGAUCGCAGGAGUGAUGCAGGUGUCCGACGGCCAUGUCCGAGAGCCAAUGAAUGACAGCGAGGACGGGGGAGAGGAAAUGGACAGAUGAAGAGACAAACAGGCAGAUGGAGGUUUUGAGGCCUGUCCCUCUGUUGAGCCUGCCACAACUUGACUGAAGAAAGCUUGGCGUCACGUCUUGAAAUGAUGCUCGACGCUCCCUCAACUGUCCGUCAGACAGCUACAGACGCCAGAACUGUGAGUUUGCUCAUUUUGCUUUCCUACUUGGAGGGGAAAUGAUAGGGAACAUUUAUAAAUUAAAUAUGUUUAAAUGUGUGCAUUUGCAAACUGGAGAAUGUGCAUGUAUGCCUAGAUAAUUAUACGUGCAUAUUAUUGCUACAUUGCCACCAUUGUCUUGUAUAAUGCAUAUGAUGUUGCUGCCACUGGUGCAAAGUAAUGGUGUAUAUGUAAAAAAAAAAAAAAAAAAAAAAAGUGCACAAGAGUGCUGCUUAUUAGUGUUAAAGCUGCAGACACACAACGUGGUGUAUCAGUGGGGCUACAAAACUGUCCAACACAGUAAGAGUGCAGUCUUUAUUGGGUCUAACAUAAUAGUGAGAGUCCAGUCUUUAGUGGA